rnacentral:misc_RNA from 1 species
UAUGAAGAACGCAGCGAAAUGCGAUAAGUAAUGUGAAUUGCAGAAUUCAGUGAAUCAUCGAAUCUUUGAACGCACAUUGCGCCCGCCAGUAUUCUGGCGGGCAUGCCUGUUCGAGCGUCAUUUCAACCAUCAAGCCCCAGGCUUGUGUUGGGGACCUGCGGCUGCCGCAGGCCCUGAAAACCAGUGGCGGGCUCGCUGUCACACCGGGCGUAGUAGAUUUUAUCUCGCUCAGGGCGUGCUGCGGGUUCCGGCCGUUAAAAAGCCUUUUUUACCCAAGGUUGACCUCGGAUCAGGUAGGAAGACCCGCUGAACUUAAGCAUAUCAAUAAGCGGAGGA